AUGGCGGAGGAACCGUCUGCCAAACGUCAUCAUGCCGAGACGUCGGACAAGAGCAGCAACCUCGUCGACAUUCACGUCCUUGGCGAGAAGCGCGAGUACACAACAACCCUCACAGGGGUUGAGCUCCACGGCAACGAGACGCUGGAGAUCGUCUGGACCAGCGUACCAGAAAAGGCCGACGAGGUGAUCUCCAGGCUCUGGAGGAAGCUUGGUGGAAAGAGUCUGAAUUGUAGGAUCGUCGACGUUGGUGUGCACUACACCAACGAAGAUGAACCUCCCUAG
rnacentral:rRNA from 1 species